UACGUAGGGCGCAAGCGUUGUCCGGAAUUAUUGGGCGUAAAGAGCUCGUAGGCGGCUUGUCACGUCGGGUGUGAAAGCCCGGGGCUUAACCCCGGGUCUGCAUUCGAUACGGGCUAGCUAGAGUGUGGUAGGGGAGAUCGGAAUUCCUGGUGUAGCGGUGAAAUGCGCAGAUAUCAGGAGGAACACCGGUGGCGAAGGCGGAUCUCUGGGCCAUUACUGACGCUGAGGAGCAAAAGCGUGGGGAGCGAACAGG
rnacentral:rRNA from 1 species